UGAAAAAGCAAGAGGUUUAUUUUCAGGCCUGUCGGGGUCGACCUUCAAUUAGUCCCUCAAGGAGAGUUACUAAGAAAGCCACACCGAAUGGCUAUUACAAGCAGUUUUUAUACUUUUUAGGAGCACAGGUUCAUCAGCAAGAUUACAGUUCCAACUUAUUGGCUAAGCAUAUGAUCACUACAUCUAUUGGCUAAGCAUAGUGAUCACUACAUCUAUUGGCUGGCAGGCACGACAGGAACUUGAACUCUACCUGGGACUUUUCGGACGGUCACUUAACUAU
ensembl:sense_intronic Gm13096 predicted gene 13096